rnacentral:rRNA from 1 species
UGGGGAAUUUUGGACAAUGGGGGAAACCCUGAUCCAGCCAUCCCGCGUGUGCGAUGAAGGCCUUCGGGUUGUAAAGCACUUUUGGCAGGAAAGAAACGUCAUGGGUUAAUACCCCGUGAAACUGACGGUACCUGCAGAAUAAGCACCGGCUAACUACGUGCCAGCAGCCGCGGUAAUACGUAGGGUGCAAGCGUUAAUCGGAAUUACUGGGCGUAAAGCGUGCGCAGGCGGUUCGGAAAGUAAGAUGUGAAAUCCCAGAGCUCAACUUUGGAACUGCAUUUUUAACUACCGGGCUAGAGUGUGUCAGAGGGAGGUGGAAUUCCGCGUGUAGCAGUGAAAUGCGUAGAUAUGCGGAGGAACACCGAUGGCGAAGGCAGCCUCCUGGGAUAACACUGACGCUCAUGCACGAAAGCGUGGGGAGCAAACAGG